UCAUCGGUGUUCCGGUAUCCUGGACUAUCGUCGCUCGAGCGAACGGCAAACGGUAGCAAACGGUCCUCUGUCGCCCGGUUAAUCCUCCGGGGUUGGAAGGAAACGGGGCACGGCGAUACGUCUCACAGCGAUAACGAGGGUCAAGGAGCGGCAUGAAAAACAGACCGAUGGUGUACGGAGGGUUGUCACAGACAGCCGCGCCGGCAGUUUCCGCAAGAAGCAGAACCAGCCGCCUCGUCUUUCAACCGGAGGGAGAACCCGGAGGAACGCCGUUGCACGCAUCUUCGCAUCGACGAGGCAAGAACUAACGCGUCACGACAGACGAGGGUCCUUGGAAGUCGACACCGGGCUACCUUGAGACGCGAAAACCAGCAUCGUGCAGGAAGGGAGAGCGCUUCGUGAAUAUACUCACCGGCAGCCUUGCAUACCGGGUGGAUCUGGAUGGAUUGUUGAUUGGCUAGAAGACGACGCGGUGUAGCCAGUUCGACGAGAGGAGAGAAAGCCUGAGAGGCAUCGAAAUGACAAAUCGAAUCGGGCCGGAGAGAAACGCACCGAAAGAUAAGAAGAUACCAGGACAGGCUGGAUAUAUGUUUGCCGGAGAAGAAUGGAAGUCCCGGGAGUUGGCGCGGCGCGCAGGUAAUGAGGUAUAUUACGACAUGUCGUUGGAUACUUUUAACGUCGCGUCGA